UGGGGAAUAUUGCACAAUGGGCGCAAGCCUGAUGCAGCCAUGCCGCGUGUGUGAAGAAGGCCUUCGGGUUGUGAAGCACUUUCAGCGAGGAGGAAGGUGGUGAACUUAAUACGUUCAUCAAUUGACGUUACUCGCAGAAGAAGCACCGGCUAACUCCGUGCCAGCAGCCGCGGUAAUACGGAGGGUGCAAGCGUUAAUCGGAAUUACUGGGCGUAAAGCGCACGCAGGCGGUUUGUUAAGUCAGAUGUGAAAUCCCCGGGCUCAACCUAGGAACUGCAUUUGAAACUGGCAAGCUAGAGUCUCGUAGAGGGGGGUAGAAUUCCAGGUGUAGCGGUGAAAUGCGUAGAGAUCUGGAGGAAUACCGGUGGCGAAGGCGGCCCCCCUGGACGAAGACUGACGCUCAGGUGCGAAAGCGUGGGGAGCAAACAGGAUUAGAUACCCCUGGUAGUCCACGCUGUAAACGAUGUCGAUUUUGGAGGUUGUGCCCUUGAGGCGUGGCUUCCGGAGCUAACGCGUUAAA
rnacentral:rRNA from 1 species